rnacentral:misc_RNA from 1 species
UAGAAAUUGAGUUCAAAAUUGGAAACAAAAUAAGCUAAACUCAUUAAGCUACUAACUAGUGCUUCCAUUGGGGACUCUCUCGUAAAAUAAGAUGUACCCGUGGUCUGUAUUGCUGGAAUACUCUUGAGCGGACCCAAAAAAUGUUUGAACAGCUGACUCAUCAAUCAUCUCAACAUUUUCAUCAUCAAAGAACAACCAGUGG